rnacentral:rRNA from 1 species
UACAUGCAAGUCGAGCGGACCGACGGGAGCUUGCUCCUUAGGUCAGCGGCGGACGGGUGAGUAACACGUGGGUAACCUGCCUGUAAGACUGGGAUAACUCCGGGAAACCGGGGCUAAUACCGGAUGCUUGAUUGAACCGCAUGGUUCAAUCAUAAAAGGUGGCUUUUAGCUACCACUUACAGAUGGACCCGCGGCGCAUUAGSUAGUUGGUGAGGUAACGGCUCACCAAGGCGACGAUGCGUAGCGACCUGAGAGGGUGAUCGGCCACACUGGGACUGAGACACGGCCCAGACUUCUACGGGAGGCAGCAGUAGGGAAUCUUCCGCAAUGGACGAAAGUCUUACGGAGCACACGCCGCGUGAGUGAUGAAGGUUUUCGGAUCGUAAAACUCUGUUGUUAGGGAAGAACAAGUACCCUUCGAAUAGGGCGGUACCUUGACGGUACCUAACCAGAAAGCCACGGSUAACUACGUGCCAGCAGCCGCGGUAAUACGGAGGUGGCAAGCGUUGUCCSGAAUUAUUGGGCGUAAAGCGCGCGCAGGCGGUUUCUUAAGUCUGAUGUGAAAGCCCCCGGCUCAACCGGGGAGGGUCAUUGGGAACUGGGGACUUGAGUGCAGAAGAGGAGAGUGG